UACGGGGGGGGCAAGCGUUGUUCGGAAUUACUGGGCGUAAAGGGCUCGUAGGCGGCCAACUAAGUCAGACGUGAAAUCCCCUCGGCUUAACCGGGGAACUGCGUCUGAUACUGGUUGGCUUGAAUCCGGGAGAGGGAUGUGGAAUUCCAGGUGUAGCGGUGAAAUGCGUAGAUAUCUGGAGGAACACCGGUGGCGAAGGCGGCAUCCUGGACCGGCAUUGACGCUGAGGCGCGAAAAGCUAGGGGAGCAAACGGGG
rnacentral:rRNA from 1 species